GAUGAACGCUGGCGGCGUGCCUAAUACAUGCAAGUCGAGCGAACAGACGAGGAGCUUGCUCCUCUGACGUUAGCGGCGGACGGGUGAGUAGCACGUGGAUAACCUACCUAUAAGACUGGGAUAACUUCGGGAAACCGGAGCUAAUACCGGAUAACAUGUUGAACCGCAUGGUUCAACAGUGAAAGACGGUCUUGCUGUCACUUAUAGAUGGAUCCGCGCCGCAUUAGCUAGUUGGUAAGGUAACGGCUUACCAAGGCAACGAUGCGUAGCCGACCUGAGAGGGUGAUCGGCCACACUGGAACUGAGACACGGUCCAGACUCCUACGGGAGGCAGCAGUAGGGAAUCUUCCGCAAUGGGCGAAAGCCUGACGGAGCAACGCCGCGUGAGUGAUGAAGGUCUUCGGGUCGUAAAACUCUGUUAUUAGGGAAGAACAAAUGUGUAAGUAACUAUGCACGUCUUGACGGUACCUAAUCAGAAAGCCACGGCUAACUACGUG
rnacentral:rRNA from 1 species